UCGGCGACCGGCGCACGGGUGCGUAACGCGUAUGCAACCUACCCAUUACAGGGGGAUAACACUGAGAAAUCGGUACUAAUACCCCAUAGCAUCCAGGGAGGCAUCUUCUUGGGUUGAAAACUCCGGUGGUAAUGGAUGGGCAUGCGUUGUAUUAGCUGGUUGGUGAGGUAACGGCUCACCAAGGCGACGAUACAUAGGGGGACUGAGAGGUUAACCCCCCACAUUGGUACUGAGACACGGCCCAAACUCCUACGGGAGGCAGCAG
rnacentral:rRNA from 1 species